rnacentral:rRNA from 1 species
UACAGAGGGUGCGAGCGUUGUCCGGAAUCACUGGGCGUAAAGGGAGCGUAGGCGGUCUUAUAAGUCAGUGGUGAAAUCUCGUUGCUUAACAACGAACGUGCCAUUGAUACUGUAGGACUUGAGUACAGUUGCCGUUGGCGGAAUGUGUCAUGUAGCGGUGAAAUGCAUAGAUAUGACACAGAACACCGAUUGCGAAGGCAGCUGACGAAACUGUAACUGACGCUGAGGCUCGAAAGCGUGGGGAUCAAACAGG